UACAGAGGUCCCCAAGCGUUGUUCGGAUUCAUUGGGCGUAAAGGGUGUGUAGGUGGCGCCGUAAGUCGGGUGUGAAAUUUCGGAGCUUAACUCCGAAACUGCAUUCGAUACUGCGGUGCUUGAGGACUGGAGAGGAGACUGGAAUUCAUGGUGUAGCAGUGAAAUGCGUAGAGAUCAUGAGGAAGACCAGUGGCGAAGGCGGGGUCUCUGGACAGUUCCUGACACUGAGACACGAAGGCCAGGGGAGCAAACGGG
rnacentral:rRNA from 1 species